rnacentral:misc_RNA from 1 species
AAGUCGUAACAAGGUUUCCGUAGGUGAACCUGCGGAAGGAUCAUUAACAGAGACUCGUGCCCGGGGGCUUGCCCCCGGCGAGCACACUCUCCAUCCCUUGCUUCUUAACGCUGUUGCUUUGGCGGGCCGCGGUCCUCCGACCCCACCGGCUCCGGCUGGUGCGCGCCCGCCAGAGGUCUACAAACUCUUGCAAUUUGGUGAAGUCUGAACAAAACAUACAAUAGCCUAAAACUUUCAACAACGGAUCUCUUGGUUCUG